rnacentral:rRNA from 1 species
UACGAAGGGGGCUAGCGUUGCUCGGAUUCAUUGGGCGUAAAGCGCGCGUAGGCGGUUACUUAAGUCGAAUGUGAAAGCCCUCGGCUUAACUGAGGAAGUGCAUCCGAAACUGAGUAGCUAGAGUACGAAAGAGGGUCGCGGAAUUCCCGGUGUAGAGGUGAAAUUCGUAGAUAUCGGGAGGAACACCGGUGGCGAAGGCGGCGACCUGGGUCGAGACUGACGCUGAGGCGCGAAAGCCAGGGGAGCGAACGGG